AGAGUAAGCCAGGCGGUCGCGCGAGACUUUUGCAGUUUCGUGAGGAAAGUCCGGACUCCACAGGGCACGGGCGCCGGAUAACGUCCGGCGCGGGUGACCGUAGGGAAAGUGCAACAGAAAGCAGACAUCCGAUGGGGCCUAUUAUCAUAGGCUCACAGGUUAAGUUGAAAGGGCGAGUUAAGAGCUCACCGGCGUCAUGGAGACAUGGCGGCCUUGUAAACCCCGCCCGGAGCAAUGGCGAAGGGCAUACCCGCGAAAGCGGGGGAAGCGGCCCGCUUCCGCCCGAAAUGGUGGCCAGCAGGAGGGCUAUUGCGCAGCAAUAUCCCCGGAGGCAGGCAGCAAUGUCUGUCCCAGAUAGAUGAUCGUCCACGACAGAAUCCGGCUUACGGCUUACUCUUUUU
rnacentral:RNase_P_RNA from 1 species